AUUGAACGCUGGCGGCAUGCCUUACACAUGCAAGUCGAACGGCAGCAUGGGAGCAAUCCUGGUGGCGAGUGGCGAACGGGUGAGUAACAUAUCGGAACGUGCCCAGUCGUGGGGGAUAACGUAGCGAAAGCUACGCUAAUACCGCAUACGAUCAACGGAUGAAAGCGGGGGAUCGCAAGACCUCGCGCGAUUGGAGCGGCCGAUAUCAGACUAGGUUGUUGGUGGGGUAAAGGCCUACCAAGCCGACGAUCUGUAGCUGGUCUGAGAGGACGACCAGCAACACUGGGACUGAGACACGGCCCAGACCCCUACGGGAGGCAGCAGUGGUGAAUUUUGGACAAUGGGCGAAAGCCUGAUCCAGCCAUUCCGCGUGCAGGAAGAAGGCCCUCGGGUUGUAAACUGCUGUUAUACAGAACGAAAAGGUUUCUACUAAUACUAGGAGCUCAUGACGGUACUGUAAGAAUAAGCACCGGCUAACUACGUGCCAGCAGCCGCAGUAA
rnacentral:rRNA from 1 species